AAAAAUGCCAACAGAUGGCUCUUCCUGCAUCCGCACAGCUGAUGAUUCCAAAGUUUGUUUGGUGGGAUACUCUUGAUGAUACAAAUCUGUAAAUUCAGCUCCACACUCACAGCAGAGAUUUUGGUCCAUGCUUCAAAAUAUUAGAUGAAAUACUUGAUCGACACAACGUACACUGGAACAAGAUUCCCCAUCUGGAAAUGGACACACAGAAGUAGCAAUCAUCAAUUACAACAGAAUUCUACAAAAAAAAAAGUCAGUUCUUUUACUCUAAAGGACACCCUUAUUCAGAAGAGCAGUUAUGCACAUACCAACAUUCUGUAGGAGAGAAUUAAUUAAAAAUAAAUACAUUUACUAACAAAUUAAUCAUGCAAUAUUUAUGAUGUGAAAAGUGCAGUUUAGGGCAAUUAGCAUCAGGUGAGCAUAGAACCUGUCCUUUUGUAGGGCAGUAACAUAGGAUUACAGUUUGACAGAAUUGUGGGUUUAAUUCUGCUCUUCCUUUUACCCAGGCUGAAUUGAGUGCAUAUUCAGACACGAGUGAAUUGAAAAUGGGAUGAAUAAAUACUCAGAAAAGGACUCAUGACUUUGCCCUCCAUGGGUAAACAGAGAUUUUGCUUUUCUUCAAAGAACGAUGAAGCAUGAUUACACUGUGUGUCAUAGUGACUGUGUUUGAAUCUAUAUAAUUAUUAAAAAGAUCAGUUUGGCCAGUAUUUGGACAGAUGGUGUUCACAUACCCAAUCCAUGGUGUAUUUGCAGGAGAGCUAAAGUUAAACUGCUUUUUUGCAUUUGCAAUCACAUUCUGCACUUUACUGACAGCAGCUUUAAUUGGAAAAGCUUCAGCUUUUAUCCUAGCUGAUAUUACUUUCCCUAUAAGAUGGAUACAAUUUGCAAUUAAUUUUUCUCUGUGGACAAUAUUAUAGUGUAAGUAAUAAUUAAACAAACCUUAACAGCUCCUGCCCAGAUGUAAAGGCAGAAAUCACCAGUGAAAGACUCAGAACUGAGCAGUUUCAUUUGUGGAGCCCUAUACAGAGUAUUUGAAAUUCUGCUUUUGAAUUCUUUGGUGAGGAAAAUAUUUGUUAUUUAUUUUGGCACUAGAAGUAGAGUAGCUGUGAAUGCGAUUUUUCGCAGCAGUUCUGCAUAAGAACUUUUCUGCACAGAUUUUAGAAAGCUGCUUCAAUAAUGUGGCAUACAUGAACAAAUAAUACAUUUGAGUUCCUGUGUUUUAGAUUCAUCCUAAAAUUAAUUCUGUUAAAGACAAUGGGCGAAUACCAUUUCUCCAUCUUUAUGCACCAGCAGGGAAAGAUUUAUCAGCUUAUACCAUGUUUGAAUUUCAAACUCCUAAGCAAAGAUAUUUUCAAUUUAUCUGAGGGUAGUAGUUAGAUGGGGAAAAAUGGUAUGAGAAAAUUGCCUAUGUAAGUUUAAUUACACCCAUGACACAACAAGAAAUGGGCCCUUGCACACUGAGGAGCUUGUGUUAUUCCAAUUAUAACCCAUUUGAGUGAGUUCUUUCUAUUUGAGGUGAGAUCUCCUUGAAGUUAAGUACGUAAAUACAUCCUGGUAAAACAGAAGUUUGGAGCAUUGCCCACCUUAGAGUAUUCUGUUAUUUGCAUGUGUGUUUGAUCCUGGUGGAGAACUGAAGAAUGUGUAUUCUGGCUGUCUGAUAUUGAGCAUGUAAAAAUCUUCUAUUCUUGUCUUCUAUUCUCUGGUUCAUUUUAUCUUGGUGUAGAGAGGCAGCCAUUAUGAACUCCCUACUUUUAUGAUGCAUUUCAAGUGUUGUAUGUAUGUAUUGAUUUUAAUUUUGCAAUACCCUUCUUACUACUGUUGUGUUGACACAUACAAUUUCAUACUCCGUAAAACUGUUGACAAUAUAGCAAUUUUAUGCAGUUGUAUGAAAAAUUCUUUCUGUUUUACUCAUUGAUAUACACCAAAACAGUGAUGCAUAAGGA